UCGUUUCUCAUUUGAUCACCGAAGUUAAGCAAACUUGAGCCCGGUUAAUACUUAGAUGGGAGAACGGCAGGAAACACCAGGUACUGUA